rnacentral:lncRNA from 1 species
CAGGAGCACCAGACUCCGGCAGGUUGCGAUAACUGGUCGUGUUCCACAGCGACAGUGUGGCGUCCUCACCAACGAUAGGUGGAACUCUAGGGUGGAAAAGGGCCCGUAGAGGUGACGCGGUGGGAAUAUAGCUUAUAGGACUGACUAGGUGCAGACCUCAGAGCGUUCCCCCCUUAACACACGCCAGGUUGAGCGGACACCGGUGUAACAAUAAUAAUAAUAAUAAUCAUAGAAUAGAUAUGAGGGGCCGUAAGAAGGUCAUGUCACGCCAAAACAUCUGGAGCGCACAAAUUACGUGCCACGACCGAGUUAGUCGCUAUCCGCAGGUGGCUAAGCCAACCGAAGGUAGUUAGGCGAACCGCGUAUUGAUUUAAUUGAGACUUUGGGUGUUGCCUGACUAGCGUAUAAGGCGCUUUCCGUUGUGAUUUGAGGAUGUUAGGUUGUCGUUCAUCUGUCGUUAGUCGGAUGAGCGUUACGCAUCCAGGGUAGGGCCGGGUGUGAUAAGGCCCGGCGUGGAUCAGUCGGUACUUCGCCAUAAAUGCGAGUGCGAAGAGGCCAAACAUUUGUCGUUUGGCUCUCGAAGCAACUCUUCGUGAGCGUAUAGACCAUNNNNNNNNNNNNNNNNNNNNNNNNNNNNNNNNNNNNNNNNNNNNNNNNNNAGGAGGCCAUGCCGUGGGCAGCUUAUCACGGCAUCCCCCCCGACGUCAGCCACCUCCACACCUUCAGCUGCCUGGCCUACGUCCGCAUCCACCCAGCCAGCAGGACAAACUCGGUCCUCGUGCAAAGGCGGAAACCCACCGCCGACCGGAGCAUGGCAUGGCCGCCCACAGCAUCCUCAUCGAGGGCAAGGUGACCGUGAGCAGCAACGUCACCUUCGAUGACAACCGCCACAGCCCGGUUCACAACGGGCGGGCACCCCCUUCAGCACUAGCCCCGCCUGCCCCGGUGGCAGCGACCCCAUCGGCGGCUCUACACCGCCCACCAAGCUGCCGACCCCAGUGGCCACCCCACCUCCGGUGACCCCAACACCACCCCUCCAUCCCAACACCCGCAGUCAACGGCAGUCCCUGCACACUCCCGCUGGUCCCGGUCAGUGACGGCCCGCCCCCCCCGACAGCAGCAGCAGCGGCGGCGGCGGAGAGUCGGGAAGUCCACCGGCGGUGGAGGCAACAGUGCAGAGCACACUGCCAACGACAUGCUGGUGAUGGCGGACAACCUGCAAGUGGUCGCGGCCACCAAGGCAGCCAUCGCCGGUUGCUUCACAGUGCGUGACCUUGGCGAGGCGCACUACCACCUCGGCAUGAAGAUCGUCCAGGAUGGUCGCAACCGCUGCAUCAUGCUCACGCAGCAGCGCUAUGUGGAGCAGCUGCUGCAGCGCCACAGCCUGGAGAAUGCCAAGCCGCGCGCCACCCUGCUGCCUCAGGGCAUGUGUGCUCUGCCAGCCAGCGACGCCCAGCCGACAGUGAUUGAUGGCAGCGGCUACCGUGUGCUGGUGGGCGAGCUGAAAUACCUCGCCACCAGCACGCGCCCGGACAUCAGUGUUUUUUUAAAGUAAUAUAUUCCUUUUAAGGAAUAAAGAGGCCAUUUUGGCCUUUGGAAAUAAGGAACAAAUUGAGGCCGAUCCGUACAUUUUCAUUCCUCGAGCCAAAAACGUCCAUUGCUGUCAGAUUGCUCCAUAGUGUGCAGAACUUAGUAUUAUCGAUCAUAGGGCGCCGUAGCUUAACUGGUAAAGCACCACCUUAACCGGUGGGAGAUUUUGGUUCGAAUCCCACCGGCGUCACCAUGGGUUGUGAGACUUGUUCACUGAUAGUAUAUCAGUAUAUCUGAGGCAUUCCUCAGGGCAACCCGUGGUGUAUGUGAUGACAAGUCCAUCACCAGAAGGCUAGGCGCCGAGGAGGAGGAGGAAAUGGCUGCACAAGGUCAAUGGAGCUGUCCAAGCAAAGUACCUACCAAGAGGCUACUGAAACAUGGCUAGGCCGAACCUCGCACGAGCCUUAGAUGGUGACCUCUAUGAGGGGUGCAGAAUCCCCCAGCGGGUGAAGCGGGUCGUAGGGGGCUAACUACCCUCCGCCAGGACAAAGCGCAGGGUGCUGUGUAGAGUGCAGUAGUGUAAGGGUAGGGAGGCGGUGCGACAUGCACGUGGCCUGAAGUUGUAACAGGAGCACCAGACUCCGGCAGGUUGCGAUAACUGGUCGUGUUCCACAGCGACAGUGUGGCGUCCUCACCAACGAUAGGUGGAACUCUAGGGUGGAAAAGGGCCCGUAGAGGUGACGCGGUGGGAAUAUAGCUUAUAGGACUGACUAGGUGCAGACCUCAGAGCGUUCCCCCCUUAACACACGCCAG